rnacentral:rRNA from 1 species
AUGGCGAUGAGUCCGCCUCCGCCGCGCCGCGCCCCCAGCUCCCGUCCGACGCCGCCGCUGCCAGACGACGUCAUGCGCGAGAUUCUCCUGCGCCUGCCGGCGGACGACCCCGCGUGCCUCGUCCGCGCCGCCGCCGGCUGCAUUAGCUGGCGGGGCAUGGUCUCGGACCCCAGCUUCGCCCCCGCCUACCGCUUGCGCCGCGGUGCGCCGCCCAUGCUGGGCUUCCUCUACGACGACCGCCCAGCUGGGGAGCACUGGAUCUCCCACUUCCUCCCCACCGCGACCUCCCCCCCGCUGGCCGCCCGCGACCGCCAGCACCGGCACGCUCUCGACUCCCGGCACGGCCUCGCCCUCUUCUACACCCCUAGAAGCCACGCGCACUUCCUUGUCUGCGACCUCGUCACCGGCGAGCACUGGGAAAUUCGCGCCGACCCCAAGUGCUACAAGAUCAUUUGGUCGAAUUUGCUGCAGGAAAUGCACUCCCUGCGCGAGAAUGAGCAAAUAUCCUGUAAUGCUUCCGUGCUCUGUGCCAAGGAUGGGUGUGACCACCGUGAUUGCCAUGGCGGCCCAUUCCUCGUGGCCUUGGUGGGCUCCGACGUGGAAGGGGACACGUAUAUGAACCACGCCGCCGUCUACUCAUCAGCUACUCGCGAGUGGAGCGACGUGACCUCCGUUGAGCAAGAGAAUGUCAUCGAUGGCACGGGGCACAGUGCUGUUGUGGGGAAUACGGUCUAUGCCCCCUGCGUGGAGGAUGACAGUGUCGUGGUGUACAACACGCGUGAGAAAAAACUAUCUGUGAUCGCGGCGCCGCUUGAGGUCGAGGACCAGGAGCAGCAGCCGUACCUUGACCUCAUGGGGCUGGAGGACGGCAUGCUGCUGUUUGCGUCUGUGGUGAAGCCUAGACUCUACCUAUGGACAAUGGAGGCUGGUCCAAGAGGAGCUGCGGGAUGGGCGCGACGCAGGGUCAUCGAGCUCGGGCCAUUGCUCCCUCUUCCUGUCCUCGAGGACAAGUCGGACGUGUCUGCGGUUGGUUUUGCAGAAGGUGUUUGUGUCAUCUUCCUCAAGACAAGGGUUGGGUUGUACACAAUGGAGCUCAGUUCAGGCAAAGGCAAAAAGGUGCACCGAGGGUACAUCAAUAAGGUCAUGCCCUACAUGAGCUUCUACACUGGAGCAUGGGGGCGUCUGCCAGCAUCUAAUGUAGCUUCACGCGCAGUUGUUGAUGCUACAACGAUAUAA